UUGCUGUCAGCAUAUUGACUGCUAUCUGCUGUUCAUCUGCCAAUGAUUCAUGAACAGGAAGUAACAGAAACUACUGGUAUCUGUCUCUUCAGGUGUGUUCAGCCUGUAUGACCAAAUCAGGAACCUGGAACCCACCUACCUGUAAGCUGACGUCAUGCGCUGAAAGUACUUUUAACAACUUGUCCAACUGAACUCAUUCAGUCAGUGAAACUAUCCUCAGGAACAAGACAAAGGAAUAUAUUUAUAAUUCAGUUCACAGUUUUUUGUACUUUCAUUGUGAGGUUUAUUGAAAAGGGAUUUACAGACAGAUGGGGACCGCUCGGUUUGUGGUUAUUACCAUUUCAAUCGUGAUUUUCCAGGCUUCAGCUUCACUGACUGCUAAGGAGCCAACAUGUGCGUCUGGAUUUGAGUCAGAUAUGUUCAUUUUCAAAGUGAACAGGAACCAACUGAGGCAGGGCGCAAGACUGGGCAGAGUGCUCCACAGGCUCAGAUGGCUUUCUACAGAGUAGCUGUUCACAGGAAAAGUCUGGGCUUUGUGACCAACACAAUUGCUUCUUAAUGUCAAGAGAAAUCUUGCAAGAGAAUACUGGUGAUAAGCAAAGCCUGUUGACAGGGAAUGACAGACAGAGUGUGACACACAACAGCACAAAAUCUGCCCAGAAAUCAAGGAACACAACAAAGAUCCCAAGGUGUUUACCUGAUCUCCAAACUGCCCAGAUCCCCAUCUGAUCCUGUAUCCAUGGGAUGCACCGGAAUAAGCCAGAUCCAUGCAGGGCCCAUCUUGCAACCCACAGGACCCAAAGGAUCUGCUGCAAAUGUCCGGGUGUCCCAGACACCACAGGACACCCUCCAUGUCCAUGCCCCAACAGGUCAGAACUGUUUUGGUGGCACAAGGUUGGCACAAUGUUAGGCAGGUCCCACAGACACUGGAUGCUGGUAAAGCCACAAUACUUUGUUCAGAUGGAGCUUUCACAGGUCAGGCAAUGUGUUAAAGCAUGAUGCAGGCCAUACAACACAUUCUCCUCCUACUAAGUUUGUGGAGAGUGUAGUGUUACAUCUCAAAAACAGUGUGUUUGAACUGUAGGAAAGUCUUUCCAAGCCCCUGUCACAACUCCCCUCCUUAGUGACUUUGUUUUUUUUUUUUAUUUUCUCUUGGAAA